rnacentral:rRNA from 1 species
UACAGAGGUCUCAAGCGUUGUUCGGAUUCAUUGGGCGUAAAGGGUGCGUAGGCGGUUGCCCAAGUCGGGUGUGAAAGCCUUGAGCUCAACUCAAGAAAUGCACUCGGUACUGGGUGACUAGAGGACCGGAGAGGAUAGUGGAAUUCCCAGUGUAGUGGUGAAAUACGUAGAGAUUGGGAAGAACACCAGUGGCGAAGGCGGCUAUCUGGACAGUUACUGACGCUCAGGCACGAAAGCGUGGGGAGCAAACGGG